AGCUAUAUCAACAGUAUUAUUCCAGUGUAUAAACACAAGAUUUUUUCAUGUACUCAUUUGUAUUUUAUAUUUUUUAUCCAUGUUUUGUUGUUCUCAGAGUAGAGAUCCUUUACCUUUUUAGUUAAGUUUGUUGCUAGGUGUAUUAGUCGGGCUUCCCUGGAGAGAUCACAAGAUCCCACAAUAGGUUGUCUGCAAGUUUGAGGAGCAAGGAGAGGCAGUCCACGUCCCAAAGCUGAAGAACUUGGAGUCUGGUUUUUGAGGGCUGGAAGCCUCCAGCACAGGAGAAAGAUGUAUGCUGGGAACCUAGGCCAGUCUCUCCCUUUUACAUUUUUCUGCCUGCUUUAUAUUCACUGGCAGCUCAUUAGAUGGUGCUCACCCAAUUAAGAGUUGGUAUCCCUUUCCCAGCCCACUGACUCAAAUGUUAAUCACGUUUGUCAACAUCCUCACAGGCACACCCAGGAUCAAUGCUUUCCAUCCUCCAAUCAAUUUGACACCCUGUAUUGACCACCACAUUAAGUAUUUUAAUUUUUGCAUACCUUUUGCGUAUGCAGAAGAAGCAUUGGAUGAAAUUCAAUAUUCAUUAUGAUGAAAACUCUUAACAUAUUAGGAAUAGAAGGUAUGUGCCUCAAAACAAUAAAGGUCAUUUAUGACAAAGCAAUGCUAACAUUAUACUGAAUAAGGAAAAGCUGAAAGCUUUCUCUGAGAUCUGGAACAACACAAAUCACCCCCACUUUCAGCCCUCUUAUUCAUCAUAGUACGGGAAGUCCUAGGCAAGGACAUUAGGCAAGAGGAAGAACUAAAACUCAUACUAAUUGGAAAGGACGAAGUCAAAUGGUCUCUGAUUGUGGACAAACUAAUCUUAUAUGUGAAAAACUCUAAACACUACACCAAAAACUAUUAGAACUACUAAACAAAUUCAAUAACAUUGCAGAUGCGCACCACUACUCCUGACAAAUUUUUGUUAUUUUUCAUAGAGACAGGGUUUUGCCAUGUUGCCCAGACUAGUCUCAAAAUCCUAAGUGCUAUAGGUAUUUUCUUUGUUGUUACUAUAGAUAUUACCAAGAAUAACUACUAUUGCCUAUAAAACCCUGCCUCUUUAUGGCUCCCUAAGUGUUUUCUUGAUGUCACAAAUUAUAUCAUUUUGUAUUAUAAAUCUAUUGGCACAGAUUUACAGUCAUUUUUAAGUCUUUGUUAUCUCAAAUAUAUAGCAGAAGUAAAGUAUUCUGUGCAUCUUCAUUAUAAUAACAAAGAAUAUAGUUAGAGUUGGUAAAGUUUCAGUAAAUUUUAGGUAAUUUUCUCCCUCAAAUUUUGAGAGUUCUCAGCCACUUUUUGUUUAUUGAAAUAACUUUGCUGCUCUCUUUCCUCUCUUUUUAUUUUAGAAUUCCCAUUAUAAGUAUAUUGGCCAUUUUAAUGGUAUCCCAGAAGUCCCUUAGGCUCUCUUAAUUUUUAAAAUUAUUUUUAGCCUUCACAGCCUAUAAUUUCAAAUGACUUCUUAUCAAGCUUGCUGGAUUUUUUCCUGCUAGAUCAAACCUGUUGCUGGACCUUCUAGUGAAUCUCUAAAUUCAGGUAUUUUACUUUUCAGCUCCACACUUUAUGUUUCUAUUUUGUACUUUUAAUCACUUCCUUGAUAAUCUCAUUAUCUUCAUGCAUUGUUUUCUUUUUCUGUUUAGUUUUCUAUGUUAUUCUUUAGCUGACUGAGCAUCUUUAAGCUAGCUGUUUUAGCCAGGCACAGUGACAUGUGCAUGUAAUUCCAGCUACUUUGAAAGCUAAGGCAAGAGGACUACUGUAUUAAACAAUUCUUAUGCUGCUAAUAAGGACAAAAACAAGACUAGGUAAUUUAUCAUGAAAAAAGAUUAAUUGUCUCACAGUUUCACAUGGUUAGGGAGGUCUCACCAUUAUUGAAGCAAGAGACUUUGUUCAGGGGAACCUCCACUUACAAAGCCAUCAAAUCACAUGAGACUUAUUUGCUAUCAUGAGAACAACACGGGAAAAUCCGACUCCCAUGAUUCAAUUACCUCCUACUGGGUCCCUCCCAGGACAUGUGGGGAUUAUUACAAUUCAAGGUGUGAUUCCGUCGGGAACACAGAGCCAAACAAUAUCAAUUACUUAAGGCCAGGAGUUUGAGACCACCUUGGGCAAUAUUGUGACAAGCUGUAUGUAAAAAAUAUUUCUACAGAUUAGCCAUGCAUGGCGGAAUGUUCCUGUAGUCUCAGGAAGUUGGAGGCUGAUGUAAGACUAUUGCUUGAGUUCACCAGGAAUAUGAGACUGCAUUGAGCUAUAAUCAUGGUAUUGUAUUCCUGUGUGGGUGAGAGAGUAAGACCUCUUUUUAGAAUUUCAAGUUUAUUUUAGAUUUAGGAAGUACCUACACAGGUUUUUUACAUGGGUAUUUUUUAUAAUGCUGAGGUUUGAAAUGUGAGGAAUUCCAUCACCCAGGCAGUGAGCAUAGUACUAAGUAGACAGUUUUUCAGUUCUUUGUCCCUCCCUCUCUCCACCCUCUAAGAGUUGUCUAUUAUUUUUGUUUUUAUGUCCAUUUGUACCCGGUGUUAAUUUCCAUUUAUAAGUGAGAACAUGCAGUAUUUUCAUUUUCCAUUUCUGCAUUAAAUUGCUCUGUAUAAUGGCCUUUAGUUCUAUUAACGUUGCUGCAAAGGACAAGUUUUUUUUUUUUUUUGUCUUUUUUUUUGCUAAGUAGUAUUGGUGUACAUGUGACACUUUUUGUAUUCAAUUUACCAUUAAUAGGCUUUACACGGUGGCUGACGCCUGUAAUCCCAGCACUUUGGGAGGCUGAUGUGGGUGGAUCAUGAGGUCAGGAGAUCGAGACCAUCCUGGACAACAUAAUGAACCCAGUCUCUACUGAAAAUAUAAAAGUUAGCCGGGCGUGGUGGCAUGGGCCUGUAGUCCCAGCUACUCGGGUGGCUGAGGCAGGAGAAUUGCUUGAACCUGGGAGGCGGAGGUUGUAGUGAGCUGUGAUCAUGCCACUGCACUCCAGCCUGGGCAACACAGUGAGAUUUCAUCUCAGAAAAAAAAAAAUUACCAUUAAUAGACAUCUAGGUUGAUUCAAGUCUUUCCUCUUAUAAAUAGUGUAGUGAUGAACCAACAAGUGCAUGUGCUAUUUUGGUAGAAGAAUUUAUUGUCUUCUGGGUAUAUACCCAGCGGUGAAAUUGCUGGGUUGAAUCAUAGUUUAACCCUCAGUUAUUUGGAAAGUCUCCAAGCUGCUCUCCACAGUGACUGAACUAAUUUGUAUUCGUAUGAACAGUGUAUAAGUGAUUUUUUUCCCUGUAAAACCUCUUCAACAUGUAUUAUCAUUUUACGUUUUAACAAAAGCCAUUCUAACUGGUGUACGAUGGUGUCUUAUUGUGGUUUUUAUUUACAUUUCCUUGAUGGUUAGUGAUGAUGAGCAUUUUUCAUGUUAUUUGGCCACUUGUAUGUUUUCUUCAGAACAGUGUCGGUUAUUGCCCUCUUUUUCAUGGGGUAAUAUUUUGCUUGUGAAUUCUUUAAGUUUCUUACAUGUUGUGAGUAUUAGAUUUUUUCAGGUUCAUAGGUUGUGAAUAUUUUUCCCAUUCUGCUAACUUUGGGGUUAGUUUGUUUUUAUUUUUCUAGUUUCUCUAAGUGUGAUUUUAAAUUGUUAGUUUGUGAUCUUUCUAACUUCUUGAUGCAGGUAUUUAGCACUCUCAACUUUCGUCUUAACAGUGCUUUUCCUACAUCCCAGACAUUUUGUUAUAUUGUGUCUCUUCAUCUAUUUCAAAAUUUUUUUAAUUUUCUGCCUUAAUUUUGUUGUUUACCCAAAAUUCAUUCAGGAGCAAGUUGUUUAAUUUCAAUAUCAUUCUGUGAUUUUGUGAGAUUUUCUUGGUAUUGAUUUUUAGCUUUGUUCCAUUGUGGCCUGACAGUAUGUUUGGCAUAAUUUUAAUUUUUAAAUAAUGUAUGGAUAAUUGCUUUAUGGCUAGGAAGUGGUCAAUCCUAGUGUAUAUUCUGUGUGCAGAUGAGAAGAAUUUACUUUCCAUAGAUGAUGUGUGGCGUAUACUAUAAAUGUCUAUUGGUUUCAGUUGAUCAAGUGUCAAAUCAAACUCCAGAAUUUCUUCGUUAAUUUUCUGCCUAGAUAAUCUGUCAAACACUUAGUGGGGAGUUGCAUUCCCCUACUAUUAUUGUGUGUCUACUUGAGUAUUAUUGUAGGUCUAGCAGUACUUGUUGUGUAAGUCUAUGUUCCCCAAAGUUGGGUCCAUCUACAUUUAGGAUAGUUAAGACUUCUUGUUGAAUUGAACCCUUUAUCGUUAUGCAAUACUUUUUUUAUUUUAUUUUACUAUUAAUUAUUUAAAGUCCUUUUUUCUUAAAAGAGAAAAAAUUCCAGGUAUGAUGGCUCAUGCCAGCACUUUCAGACUGAGGCAGUAGGAUUGCCUGAGACCACGAGUUUGAGACCAGCCGAGGCAAUAUAGCAACAUUCUGUUUGUACACAUUUUUUUUAAAGAAACUAUACAGGAGUGGUCGUGUGCACAACUGUGGUCAUAUUUACUCAGGAUACAUAGGUGGCAUGACUGCUUGUCUUCAGAAAUUUGAGGUUACAGUGAGCUGUGAUUGCACCACUGCACUCUGUCCCAGGAGAUAGAGUAAGAUCCUGUGUUUUGGUACUAGUACCAUCCUGUCUUGGUUACUGUGGCCUUUUAGCAUAGUUUGAAGACAGCUAGCGUGAUGCCUCCACCUUUGUUCUUUUUGCUUAGUAUUGUCUUGUCUAUGCAGGAUCUUUUUUGAUUCCAUAUGAAAUUUAAAGUAGUUUUUUUUUUCUAAUUCUGUAAAGAAAAUCAACGGGAGCUUGAUGGGGAUAGUACUGAAUUUACAAAUUUCUUUGUGCAAUAUGGCCAUUUUCACAAUAUUGAUUCUUCCUAUCCAUGAGCACGGAUUGUUUUCCGUUUGUUUGUGUCCUCUUUCAUUUCCUUGAACAGCGGUUUGUAGUUCUCCUUGAAGAAGUCCGUUACAUCCCUUUUAAGUUGGAUUCCUAGGUAUUUUAUUCCCUUUGUAGCAAUUGUGAAUGAGAGUUCACACAUGAUUUGGCUCUCUGUUUGCCUAUUAUUGCGUAUAGGAAUGCUUGUGAUUUUUGAACAUUGAUUUUGUAUCCUGAGACUUUGCUGAAGUUGCUUAUGAGUUUAAGGAGAUUUUAGGCUGAGAUGAUGGGGUUUUCUAGAUAUACAAUCAUGUCAUCUGCAAACAGAGACAAUUUGACUUCCUAUUUGAAUACACUUUCUUUCUUUCUUUCUUUGGCUGAUUGCCAGAACUUUCAAUACUAUAUUGAAUAGGAGUGGGGAGAGAUGGUGUUCUUGACUUGUGCAGGUUUUCAAAGGGAAUGCUUCCAGUUUUUGCCCAUUCAGUAUGAUAUUGGCUCUGCAUUUUUCAUGAAUAACUCUGAUGAUGUUGAGAUAGGUUCCAUCAAUACAUAAUUCAUUGAGAGUUUUUCCCAUGAAGAGGUGUGGAAUUUUAUUGAAGGUCUUUUUUGCAUCUAUUGCGAUAAUCAUGUGGUUUUUGUCAUUUGUUCUGUUUAUGUAAUGGAUUACAUUUAUUGAUUUGCAUAUGUUUAAUCAGCUUUGCAUCCCAGGGAUUAAGCUGACUAGAUCAUGGUGGAUAUGUUUUUGAUGUGCUGCUGGAUUCGGUUUGCCAGUAUUUUAUUGAGGAUUUUCGCGUCGAUGUUCUUCGGGGAUACGGGCCUGAAAUUUUCUUUUUUUGUUGUGCCUUUGCCAGGUUUUGGUUUCAGGAUGAUGCUGGCCGCAUAGAAUGAGUUAGGGAGGAGUACCCCUUUUUCUAUUGUUUGAAGUAGUUUCAGAAGUAAUGGUACCAGCUCCUCCUUGUACCUUUGGUGGAAUUUGGCUGUGAAUCCGUCUGGUCCUCGACUUCUUUUCGUUGGUAGGCUAGUAAUUACUGUCUCAAAUUUAGAACUUGUUAUUGGCCUAUUCAGUGAUUCGACUUCUUACUGGUUUGGACUUGAGAGGGUAUAUGUGUCCAGGAAUAUAUCCAUUUCGUCUAGAUUUUCUAGUUAAUUUGCAAAGAGGUAUUUACUAUAUUCUUUAAUGAUUCUUUUUAUUUUGUGGGAUCAAUGGUUAUAUCGCCUUUAUCAUUUCCUUUUGCAUGUAUUUCAUUCUUCUCUUCUUCCUUAUUUGUCUGGAUAGUAGUUUAAUUAUUUUCUUGAUCUUUUCAAAAAACAGCUCCUGGAUUCAUUGAUUUUUUUGACGGGAGUAUUGUGUCUCUAUCUCCUUCAGUUCUACUCUGAUCUUAAAUCUUGUCUUCUGCUAUCUUUUGAAUUUGUUUGCUCUUGUUUCCCUAGUAUUUUUAUUGUGGUGUUAUGGUGUCUAUUUUAGACCUUUUCUGCUUUCUCUUGUGGGCAUUUAGUGCUAUAAGUUUCUCUUUACACACUACUUUAGCUGGUUCAUAUUUUACUUUUUAAGCCCUCGGUCUUUCUUUUUCAUCAUGAUAGUCUUGACUGUUUUAUGUUUCUGUAAUGUAAAAUUGACUACACAGUAUUUACAAAGAUUUUACCAAAAUAUUUUAUUGAGAAUGUACAAACCUGUCAGUCAAUUAGAGGAGAAGUUACAUUAUAGUAAUAAGUAGCCACAAAACAAAACCCCAAAAGACAUCCAAACCAGAAUAAAACAAAACAUUUUAACAAAAACAAAAAGAACAAACUCUCAACAAAUUUGUGCAGUUUAUAUCACAAAGAUGCUCACAUCUCCACUCUGAAGAGAGCUUUUAGAAUUUCAUUUAAAACAUGGCAAAGACAUUAUCCCACACUUCACACACAAAAAAAUAAAUUUAUGCAGCUGUUAACACACGAACGUACUAUCAAGCUCAGAUAUAAUCAAAAUUAAAUAUUUCACAAGAGAUUCUACAGUUUGGGAGAAAUAGAAAAGUGUUUUUUUCUUUUCUCCAGGCCCACAAGUCUAGUUUCUUGGGCUCCCUCAAUAUUCUGGGGGUUUUCAUCAGCUACCCAAAAUAUAGGAAGCACAGAGCAGGUGGUGGCUGAAUGUGGGUUAUCCUGUGAAACCAUAUUUAAGAUGAGAGCCCUUGGUCAAUUGUAUUGUAAUCAGCUGGCUCACGAAAGAAGACCUGGCUGUCCAGAUCUCUACACCUCCUGCACUGGGUAUGACAGGGGGCCUGAGAACCCAUGGGGCCCAAACCCUCCCCAUCCCAAAAACCAUCCAGUAUUGAGGACUCUGACACCAAAUUCUCACAGAGCAUAUGCUUAUGAAGCUUUACAUUUAAUUUCUCAUUACAAUUGGGUAAUUGAGGUCCCAAAAGAGGCAGGGACUUGUCCAGAUCUCAGGAGGUAGGCAGGCUCCAGAGCAUUAGGGAGGGCUCCACCUUCCUUGGCCUUGGCUCCAUCCCACCUAUCAGGUUUGUUUUGGAAAUUAGAGUCUGUAGCUACACAUUCAAGGGCACAGAAAAUGAGCAGAUCUAGGGUUCUUUUCACAUGGGUACCUCUCCAUAUCAGUUUCAAGAUGACAGGACUGGGGUUCUGCAUCCAGCUCUGAGGGCACCUGGAAGUAAAAUGAGCUAUGCUCCACUUCAGCCUAAUGUAGACAAUGCCUGCAGGAAAGCCUGUUUUAUUCCUCAUAAAAAGGAGUGCCUGAAGUGGGUGACCUCGAUGAUUUCACAUACUCAUAAGUGUCUGCCACCUUGCAUUCUUGCUCUGAGACUGCAAAAACGCAUCCACUCUCUGCAGGUCCUUCAAAUCAGAGGGAACCAUGGCCACUUGAGAGGCUUCUUGGGUAGAUUUAGAUGAGACAGUUAAAUGUGCCAUAGCAUUGGACUCCGAGGCUGAAGUCCACGAAAAUCCCAACUACUUUUGGGUUCUUAAGGUCCUCAUUUGAAAGUGGUAGAAAAUGAUUUCACUGGAUAAGGGGAGGAUACCUCAUGAGUAAAUAGCACAACCGAAAUUGUGGAGGCAAAGAGAGGGCAAAAGGGGAUUCCUAGGUCAUUCAUUAUACUUGGGACCUUCAGAUCCUGCUACUUUAUCCCCUAGGACCUUGAAGAACCAGUGUCUUGAAGACACAAAAAUCAAGGUACGUGAUUUGUUUCGUAGUACUCCUGCAUGGGGCUGUAGUAUUAGUGAUGACCUGGAGGUGGUUACAGCCUGCUGUUUCUGGUGUCCACUGAGCUUUGCUGGAGCAGCUGGAACAAGUAAGAGUCACACAUCCCAUGUUGUUAUGAGUGACCUCCACAUUAUCAUGUGGUGAAAAGAGGAAGGGAUAUUAGAGAUCCCCCAUAUAACCACAGCCAGUCUGUUUUCCCUUAAACUCACCCCUUGCCAGCUAACCUGGUGGGUCAAACAUGUGGUACAGAAAAUUAUUACAUCAUGCCUGCACCCCCCAACUCAGGACCAAACAGUCUGAGGACAGCUGGACAAAAGUACUAAAGCAAGUAUAUGUGAAUGGAAAGAGCAAGAACUAUAAUAUAAAGUAGAUUGUUGAGAAUAAAAGCUGGAAAAUUAUUGCAUGGGAGGACCUCAGGCCUCACUGAGGUGACUUUUAAUCCAUGAUGAGGAUGACAACAGGAAGGCAUCUGCACAAGAAUGUGUCAGGGAGAAGCCACCUUUAGUGAAGAGACUCAUAGGUGUGAGUUUGACAGAGGUUACAAAGGAACUAAUUUGGCUGCAGACAGCCUGAGGAAGAUAUAAGCAGAGGGAUGGAGAAUCCUAAGACCUGGGAGAUGAGGUUAGAUAUCUGCUCCUUUCUGACAACAUUGCCCUAAAACUCAGGACUUUUCAACGACAUAUAAUAUCUCAUAAUUUGUGUGGGCCAGAAUCUGGACACAGUUCAGCUGGCUACCUCUGCCUUCAGGUCUUUUAUGAGACUGGGGCUGUGGUCUGAACAGAACCUGGACUGGCAAAGUAUGAGCCUUUAAGCUGACUCGUGUGAAAAUUUGCAGAGUUUAGUGUGGACAGACAGCCUGACUUUCCUUCUCUCUACUGGUCUGAGCACCCCCUAAGGUCUUUGUUAUGUGAGUCUCUACAUGGAGCAUCUCAUAGCAUUAGAGCUUGCUUUCUGUGUUUGAAGAAUACAAUAGAGAGAAAGAAUUAGACAAAAAGGUUUACACAAAAAGAGACAGAGAGAAAGAUCAGGGCGCAAACAGGAAAAACCCAGUAGGAGAAAAAUGAGAGAUUUAAAAAAAUCUUGACAGGGUGCGGUGGCUCACACCUGUAAUCCCAGCACUUUAGGAUGCUGAGACGGGUGGAUCGCCUGAGGUCAGCGGUUUGAAACCAGCCUGGACAACAUGGUGAAACCACUGUCUCUUCUAAAAUUACAAAAUGAGCCAGGUGUGGUGGCACAUGCCUGUAAUCCCAGCUACUUGGGAGACUGAGGCAGGAGAAUCACCUAAACCUGGGAGGCGAAGGUUCCAAUAAGCCGAGAUCACACCACUGCACUCCAGCCUGGGAUACAAGAGUGAAACUGUGUCUCAAAAACAAAAACAAACAAAAAAAAAAACAAAGAGAGAAAAAAAGACUUGAGAGUUACAAUAAUUUUUCUUCUAUAUUUGUGUUAAAAUUGUAACCCCCGGUGUAAUGCUAUAAGGAGGUAGGAUGUAAUUAACCCCUGAGGGUGGGACCCUCAUAUAGAGAUUACUGGCUUUAUACAAGAAACUGCAGAGGGCUCUCAUCCUCCUUUUACAAAAUGAGGAUAAAACCUGAAGUGCGCAGUCUGAAAUUCAGAAGCGAGUCAUCACCAGAGCUCAACCAUGCUGACACCCUGAUCUCAAAUUUGAACCUCUGGAAGUAUGAGAAAUUAAGUCCUGUUGUCUAUAAGCUGCCUAUCUAUGGUUCUUUGGCAUAGCAGCCUGAACUAAUACAAAAUUGAAAUCCUUUUCUGUAUUUCAUUGGACAGAAGCUGAGUUUGUACUCUCUACACUGUUAAGAAAAAUGGCUUAAAAAACGGAUCUUCAGAAUGAAAGAUAAGAAACGGCUUGUUGAAACACUAAAAUUUUAUCCGCUUAUGAGAUUUUUAAACAUUGGCUGAAAUUGUUGGAACCAAUAUGGCCAACUGAAGUCCAUGAAGAAUCAGUCUGCAGAUGUUAGAGCCCAAAUUUCCUUUGUGUGUUUCAUACUAUCUCUCCCUGAAUUUGCAUGUGACCUGUGAGGAAGCAAGAAGAGAUGACUGUGUAUGUCUCAUGACUUUGCAUAUUCCUGCUUCCCUUCCAGCAAUCCCCUACAGAACUCACUUCUUAGGCCUUUUCUAAUCACUGCCUUAAAGCCAGUAUCACAAAACAAAUUUGAUCUGGACUUCUAUCUCCUUGUUGGCCAACCUACAAGAUGAUAUUUUCCUCAAAACCGAAGGGCCAUACUACUGGCGUCAGCCAGUAGGCCAUUUUAUUCAAUAAAAACCGAGUCACUAACCACCUAGUUCUGGGAGACUUUGUGAAGACUUCCCCUGUCAUAGGCAUGAUAAGGCACAUAGAUAUGAUUCUAAAUAUAAAGAGAAAGCACUAGAAAGUUGAAUUCCUGUAUUAGUGCAUUCUCAUACUGCAAUGAUGAAGUACCUGAGACUGGGUAACAUAAAAAAGUUUAAUUGACUCACAGUUCCACAUAAUUGUGGGGGCACCUCAGAAACCUUCCAAUUACAGUGGCUGACAAGUGAAGUUAGUGAGAGCAGGGGAUAUACCAGAUGCUUAUGAAACCAUCAGAUCUCGUAAGAACUCACUAUCACAAGGACAGCACGAGGAAAACCCGUCCCCAUAAUCCAAUCAACUCCCCUCAGGUUUUUCCCUUAACACCUGGGGGUUAUAAUACACAAUGAGGUUUGGUUGGGGACAAGCAGCUAAACUAUAUGAAUGCCAGAGGACAAUAUCUACAUUUAAUUUCAACUUCAUACUGGAGCAGAAUGAAAAUGAGGCCCAGUGGAGAAGUGACAUUCCCAAGAUCACCCUGCCAGACCAAAAGCCUGUUUGAGUUGUGGCCCAUGCUACCUCCCACCUAUUCUCCUAAUGCUUCCAUCUCUAAGUGUGUGCAUCAUCUACAGGUGACAUCACCUCAUUAUUUUUAUGUCUUAUCUUAUAUACACCUAAUACAUUGCAUAGGAAGUAGAUGUUAGCAUCAUCCCCACUGUGCAUGCUAGGAGGCUGGGGAAGCCUCGAAUACACAGUGACUUGUAUUGGGUCCCAGAGAUGGUAAGAAAAACAAGGUUAUGUUCCAGCUAUCUCUUCUAUCCUGGAACCCAGGCUGCAUUUAGUUCUUUCCAGGGAAUUAAGGGGAAGUUGUGUUUGCCUAAUUGUGGACAAAUAAAGAGAUGACAUGGAAGAGGAGACUGAACCAUCAGUAGCACAGUGGGGCCUUUGGGUAGGUCUUACAGAAACAAGGGGCCCAGUAGAUGGAACCUUGAAGAGUUUAACACACUUUCUUGGUGACAGAACCCAACAGCAGUUAAGAAACCAGGAACCCACAUUCUUGAGACAGCUCUGUAUCCACCUCUGUUGGUGAGAGAUGCCCAAGAGAGUGAGAUGUUCUUUCACUGUGCCCUGAAAUUUCUGAGUUUUGGCCUUACAAAGACUCAAUGUAAAAGUCUUAUCUGAUAGCACGGAUGUCAACUCAGCCUUCAUCGCUGAUGCCCCUGGCUAUUGGCCGGGUGCACCUGCAAAUAACAUAGUGCAGCCCAAGACAGGCCCCUCCACACCAGGCCUCUCUUGUCAACUCAUCUGGGCAGUCCCACACCACUUCUUGGUACCAUGAGUUGUAGGGGGAACAAGAGGGAGGGCACUCUUCUUGGAGUGAAGCAGACUGUCAGGUGUUGGAACCCUUGUGUAUCUGUCUUGUUCAUACCCAGGCCAUAGCUGGCAGAAUAAAAAGAAGAGCGUUGGAGAACGAGUCUGUGCACUCAGAUGUGAAUUCCAAGACUUUAACUUGUCCUCUGGUUUCCUUCCUUGAUGGAGAUUUAUACAGAUUCUCCUUAUGUGCCUAAUCUGAAGAGCAGAAUUUCUUUUCUUUUCUUUUCUUUUCUUUUUUUUCUUUUCUUUUCUUUUCUUUUCUUUUCUCCUUCUCUUAUCUUUUCCUUUCUUUCUUUCUCUUCCUUUCUUUCCUUCUCUCUCUCACUCUUUCUUUCUUUUGAUGAAGUCUCGCUCUGUCACCCAGGCUGGAGUGCAGAGAAAAGCAGAAUUUCUAAUGGAGGUGUCACAUACGGUGAACAAGGCAGACCACUGACUUUUCUUUGCGUGGUUUCUAGGCACUUUUUACAAAGCUGCAUUCAGAUUGAUGAGGAGCUGUUUGAUGUGGCCAACUCCUUCCUCUUUUUGGAAAAAGGGCAGGUGCACUAAACAAGCAACCUCAGCCAGCACCGGGCUGUGCUGAGAGAAGCCACAUAGGGGUCUCUACAGACAGAAACCCGAGAAGACCGGGACAGACCCAGGACCCAGACUCAAAUAUGAAAAAUUUCUGGGCUUUCUCCUGCGGCCUUCCCAUGUGUAACUCAUAGUCUUGUUUCAGUGGAAUCUGACCUUCAUUGGUCUCAGUGGCAAUUGGUUAUGUGGAAAGUCUCUGUUCACACACUUGUGUGAAUAACAGAAAAGACUUUUGUAUUGUUUUCAUUUUACAAUAGGUCAUGAGUAUUUACGCCUGUGGCUGCAGUUUGUAUUAGUUUCCUACCCCAGGUAUCUCCUGCAGAAUGCAGCUUCAGUCCUACCAGACCCUCAAAACUUAAAAGCUAACACUAUUACUAGGGAGGAUUUCACAGGAAAAUGGAGAAAGUGUUACACACAAAAAAGGUUAAACUACUCUAUGCAAUGUGUUAUCUCAAGAACUCAUCUCUGUAGCCCAUCAGGGCAGGAGCUGGGCUCUCACUUUUUGAUAAUAUUCCAUAAGGGAGGUUCUUCCCCACAGCGUUUAGUCUUCCGACGCUGGUGCAGCCUGACAUGAUGACAUUCUACUUUCAUGUGGGUCAUGCUGCAGGGAAUAUUCUGUGAGUGUCCUAAUAGGCUGGAAUCAUUUGCGAGGGUGAAGCCCAUCUUUGGUGCUCUCUUUUCUGUUAUCUUCUAAUUAGCUUUAUUCUAAGCAAAUCCAUGUCUAUUUUAUUUAUCUGUUUAUUUACUUAUUUUUAUGUAUGGAAAAACACAUUUUUUUAUUUACUUAUUUAUUUAGAGACAGGGUCUGCCUCUGUCACCCAAGCUGGAUUAUAGUGGUAGAGUGGUGUGAUCAUGGCUCAUUGAAGCCUCAAACUCUUAGGCUCGAAUGAUUCUCUCACUUCAGCCUCCUGUGCCACCAUGGCCUGCUAGUUUAUUUUAAUUAUUUAUAAAGAAGGAAUCUCAUUAUGCUGCCCAGGCUGGUCUCAAACUCCUUGGCCCAAGCAAUUCCCUCAUCUCAGCCUCCCAAAGCACUGGGAUUAAAAACAUGAGCCACUGUACUGAGCUGUGCCUACUUCAAAAGACUGAAAAUAAAAAUAGAUAAAUCUAUGCCAAAUUAAAAAACAAAGCAAUAGUUUCCAGGUCUUAGAUACAGACAAUUCUGUAUCACGAAGAAUGGCAAAAGGCUUAUUUAGCUGUUAAAAUGAUUUGCUUAUAUUUCAAAAAGCAGAGAAAAAAAGGUACAUAUAAAAGUUUACCAGGCUAGACAAGGUGGUUCAGCCUGUAAUCCCAACAUUUGGGGAGGCCAAGACAGGAGGAUCUCUUGAAGCCAAAUGUUUGAGUCCAGUACAGGCAACAUGGUGAAAUUCUGUCACCAUAAAAAAAUAAACUAAAAUAAAUAUGGCUGGGCAUGUUGGCUCACUUCUGUAAUCCCCGCACUUUGGGAGUUGGAAGCAGGUGGAUAACGAGUUCAGGGGUUAGAGACCAGCCUGGCCAAAAUGGUGAAAGCCUUUUUCUCCUAAAAAUAAUAACAAUAAAAAAUAAACCAGGCAUGGUGGUUUGCACCUGUAGUACCAGCUACUCAAAAGGUUGAGGCAGGAGAAUUGCUUGAACCCGGGAGGCGGAGGUUGCAUUGAGCUAAGAUCAUGCCACUACACUCUAGCCUGGCCCACAGAGCAAGACACUGUCUUGAAAAAUAAAAUAAAAUGAAAUAAAUAAAGUUAGCCAGGCAUGGUGGUGCAUGCCUAUAGUCCUAGGUAAUUAAGAGGUUGACGCAGGAGGACUUCUCAAACCCAAAAUGUUAAGGUUACGGUGAGCUAUGAUUAUGCCAUUGCACUUCAGACUAAGUAAAAGAGUAAGAUUCUUUCUCAAAAAAUUAAUAAUAAAAGUUUUGUAAAUUACAUUGUUUAAGAAAAGGGAAAAGGAAAAAAUAUAUUGUUUUUAUUUUCAAAUGGGAGAAUAGAGCCUCUCAUUUCUAACUUGUAUUUCCUCCUGCAAAAAGUUGUUCUAGGUCCGUGGUCUUGAACUACUGGACAUCUGAAUUUUAGUAGGUGCUGGAUUCAGGCAACUGAAGGGUGGCCUUGGGCACACUGUGUGCACAUAAAAAAAAGGGUUUGAGGUGAACUAGAAGGUAAAAGAGGGGAAAGUGCUAUUAAGAACCCACAAUUGGGAGACAGUAUAGGGUUGGUGGAAGGACUGGUUCAUGGUACAGAUACUGACCCAGGUGAAACUUUGUUCUGACUUAUUUCUAUGUCCAUGCAGGAAGGUGAGAUUAUGAUCAGGUGGCACAGAAACCUGGGAUGGUGAAAAAACCAGGUUGCCACUGCAGAUUCAGUGUCUGAGGUAGAGCAUAUGCCAGGGGCCUUGUAGGCACAUGUGUGGGUUUUUGGUGGGAAAGUCUAUGAGGAAAGGUAGCGUGGCAACAAUCUUGAUGCCGAAGCCCUGUCCUGGGAGGGGCUUGACCAAAUCAACACGCAGUGCGUAUGUUCGGUGGGUGAAAAACAUGUGGUGGCCUCAGGUUAGCAGGAAGGCAGAGGGCAUCUGUUCUCAGAAAUUCUUCCCUCAGAGUCCUUGGUCCUUCUCACCCUGGGAGGAUGCCUGGAACCACAGGGCAGUGCAUGGUGUAGCAGGCUGUGUGCGGAGCAGAGCCUACCUUCCCCGAGACACCUGGAGUCUCUCUCCAGCAGAGGACCCCACAUUGUCUUUUUUCUUACAUCACUUUUGAUCCUAAAUGUGUAAAGUUCCCUGAAAACCCACUGAUUCUCCAACACCCAUUUGUUGCCCCAAAAUUUAAUUCUGACACAACUUAGAGUUCGCACAGACCCCACAAAUUCAGGGUUCAGUCUCACAUCACCGCUCUCACUGCAGAGGACAGUCACAUGUCCCGGAAGCCCAUCUAUACUUCUGAGCCACCUCCAAUAAAUCUGAGACUCCCAUAAACCCCUUUUCAAGUUAAAUAAUUUGACAGAAUUACUUAAAAAAAACAACAACAAAUAACUCUAAUUAUAUUUACCACUUUAUUAUAAAAAUAUAACUCAGAAACAGCCAAAUGGAAGAGAUGUCUAGGGCAAGGAACAGUUGUGGGUGAAGGUAAUCCUGGAAAUAGCUAUAUUCAAAGAAAUUCCUCCAUUCUUUGUAUUCUCAAAGAACAGCUGAGUGAAGAGAAACGUGCUUCCCAUUAUGACUUUGAGGAUGCUCCCUGCUGUUUUUUUUAACCUAUCACAAAGAUGGACACAGAUUGCAAAUUCCUAUUUUUAAAAAUGAACAAUCAUUCAGUAAUUUAGUCUUCAGUGGUCAAAACAAAGUACUCGUUACAAAAAUUUUGCUUGUUUCUCUUCUUCCAACCAGCCCGUGAACUUUGACUCACCCACAGCCUCAGCAAACCUACAACCCUUAUUUAUACAUACCCUUCCUAAGAACAGGCUGACUUCAAGGUGAAACAUUACCUUAUCUGGGAUCAGAUUUUGCUACCCUCCAUCCUGUGCUUCCCUUCCUAUCUUCUUUGUAAACUUGUUUUCUCCUCCCUAUGAAAUAAAGCCCUUUUCCACCUAAUCUUUGAGAUCCUCAAAGAUCUAAUCAUUUGUACUUUUUCUUUCUUGCAAUACUUCUUAGGUAACUUCUUAGACCAAAUCUAGAAACAGUCUCAGGAGAAUAACAAUUCCAUUCUAGAAAUAAUCUCCCAACAUUUCUUCUAUCUCAACCCCAACUGCAUCUGCCUGUGAACUUCCAGCUUACCAAGGCUCUGUAUCUUCUGGCAGUGACAAAGGCUCCUUCCAUGGUUGGUGUGAGCAGGCUUGGACACCUGCAGGGAAGACACCCAGGAAUAAUCAACUGGGCCUUCAGUGGUCCCCUUUUGCAGGAUCAAGGUGGGCCUUAGCUUUUAGUCAAUGGUCUAAGACCUCUACUUACCAGUUAGAGUCAUUCAGUUAGUUUUCAAUUUAAAAAAUACUUCAUUUUUGAAGAAUCCAGCAAAAAUUAUUCAAAUCUAAGGUAUAAGAGAGAGGAAGUUAUGGCCGAGCAUGGUGACUCAUGCCUGUAAUCCCUGCAUUUUGGGAGGCCGAGGCGGGCAGAUGACAUGAAGUCAGGAGUUUGAGACCAGCCUGACCAACAUGAAGAAACCCCGUCUCUACUAAAAAUACAAAAUUAGCCGGGUGUGGUGUUGUAUGCCUGUAAUCCCAGCUACUCAGGAGGCCGAGGCAGGAGAAUCGCUUGAACCCGGGAAGUGGAGUUUGCAGUGAGCCGAGGUCGUGCCAUUGCACUCCAGCCUGGGCAACAAGAGUGAAACUACAUGUAAAAAAUAAAAUAAAAUAAAAAAUAAAAUUUUAAGGGGCUUACAUCUUAUAACUCAUCAAGAAAAGCCAAAGUGUCUAUCCCUUUCAGAAAAUAAACAUGUAAUUUAAUUAUGUUCAUAACAAAUCAUUUGGGUAAACAAUUAAUCAUAUGUGAACACUUCCAGGGGGUGCGAAGUCUCAGCUCCUAAAACUUAGCAUUACCUUCAGACACCCAUAUGGCAGCAUAUGGAACAGAGAUAUUCACUUGCACAAGUUCUCUGUUUUGAAAAAAAGAAUAACUGAUGGGAUAAAUUAUGUAAUUUGACAAUUAAUCUACCUCACUUGCUUGUGGAUAUGUAUUCAUUUCCUACCACUGUAGUGGAAGAGAGACUACCCCGGUCUUUACACCCGGUAGCAUUUCCAACAGUAAGCUCUGAGAUUCUUCUUGAAAUCACCUCUCAAACAAAUAAAAAACAGACCUGGGAAAUGUGCUACAAUCAUUGUGCUGAAGAAAUUGGUAAGUAAUAAUUUUUAGCAAAUGAAAUAUAUUACUACUUAAUUGUACUCAAAAUCCACCAACUUAAUGUGUUUAUAAAUAUUUUCAUACCUUUGAAGCUCCACUGACAAAACAUAAUUUACAGUUAAUGAAAAAGUGAAGUUAAAAUAAAUACAAUAAUAUUUUCAAAGUGACAAAAUUAGAACGCGACAAUGCCAACUGAAACACAGACAUAUCUGACCCAAGGGUCAAGUCAAGCCAUUCUAUGACUUGGGAUAUUUUCCCUGCUCGUAUCUUGUUCAGUGAAGUGGGUCAUGAGCGUCCCACCAGGAGCCGCUACGCUGUGCUCCACUGUGUCUGUGAGGGGCAUUUUACUUUGCGGGUUUUUGCACUGCCUCACUGGGUUGGGUUUCUUUGUCUUUUAAAAUAUUUUCUCUCCCUUCACCAAUCUGAGAGCAUUUUUUCCUCAGUAUCAGCAUGCAGUUGACUGGACUGCAGUGUGUCUCUAAGGAAUGGAAACUAACCGUUGGGUAUAUUUUGCAGACCCAGGCAGUGCUGCUUGCUCUAUUCUUGAUUCACCGAGUGCCGUGUGUGCUCAGUGCAUCCUGUGCACGGGUCACUGUGCUGUGUGCCCUGGCCUGGGUGAGCAUCAUUCUUCGGGGAGAACCUUGCUGAAAACAAAGCUGCAUUCCAAAAAGUUAAAACCAUGCUACUUACCGUGUUGAGGUUAAAAUUAAAAGACCUAGGGGACUCUUCCACAAGUUAAAACAUAAAUAAAUAACUUGGAAUAUUAAUAUACACCUGAUGAUGUCCUGAGUGAACAUGCCCCACUUUAAAACAAAACAAAACAUUACUAUUAUUCUAAAAUAUUAAUUUAGGAUUGUUAUGCAAAUAUGUACAGUUUAAAUUUUUAUUGAUGUAUAACAUGCAUACCGCAAUAUAAGCACAAAACGUUUAUGGAAUGCUUGAUGAGUUAUUACAGAAUAUAUACACUUGUGUAUCUAAGAAUCAGAUUUGUUCAUGCCCUUGACACUUUCUCCUUCCAAAAGGUAACCAAGACCUUAAGAGAUAAGUGCAGAUAAACUUUGUCAUUUUGUACAAGUGUUUUAUUACAGAACAUUAAAAACGUAUACACGAUACAAAAAAAAGUAUAACAGACCAGUCACCCAGCUUUAACAGCUAUUAGUCAUGUGUCAUUUUUGUGUCACUUAUACUUCCAGCCAUUCCCCCACCAAUUUCAUUUUUUUUAGGCUUUUUGGAUAAAAUGUAUAUUCAUUGCAAGGUACAAUGUGAACUGUAAAUAGUAGAGAGAUGGGGUUUCACCAUGUUGGCCAGGCUGACCUUGAACUCCUCACCUCAGGUGAUCCAACCGCUUCAGCUUCCCAAAGUGCUGGGAUUACAGGCAUGAGCCAAUAUACUCGGCCUGAGAAUUCAUAUUUCUAACGAAGUACAAAUCCAUAGGUCACAUGACAACUGCAAUAUCUAUCUACAGUAGAUACAGUUUGAUGAAUAAAAUGAAAGGCAAUUGACCUAAGGUGAAAAAAAAAAAACAAAAAGCAAUCAAAGCAUGGGUAUUACGUGCUAUCUGUAGGAGCAUUUGGUUAAGAAUAACAAACAUACCAAUUUUAUCGUUUUAAUAACCAAAAUUGUCAAAAUUUCUAGUUUUUCUUUCAUAGAAAUGCUCUCUGCAAGAAAAAAUUUUCAUAUAGUGAGGGCAAAAAUGACAACCAUUUGCAAGUAAAUGUCUUAUGAAAUUAAGUAGCAGAUACCAACCUCACGACCUUCAGAUAGUUAACCCAAACUCAAUCAUUUACAUAGCAAGUGCAGAUAAUUUUCAUAGCUUCCUAUUAAAAUUAUAUUUGAAUGCUCUUACAAAUUGUGACUGUUUUCACAUAAAGUUCACUAACUAGUAUUUUGUUUAUGACAUAUGAUAAAUUCCACUUCAAGUCACCUUACAUUUACUUAAUUUUAUUAGGCAGUGUCUGUCUACCACCCAGUAAUACGUGGGGAUUCUCCCUCCAUUUGCACAGACAUCAUAGCUGGGGAAACAGGGAUUCACAAGACCCAGGCUGUUCCCUACAUAUUUUUCCUCCUCAGACGUCAGUUCAUCAGUCAGUCAAGUCAUGUGAGAGUGGAGGCCAUGUAUUCCAUAUUCUUGGGCACUCUCUUCCAAGGAGGAAAAGGCCAGGAGGUCCUGUUAGAGGAUGCACUCUGAGAGGCCGGGCUCCCUAAGGUGUGAGAGUUCUAACCAGCGGUGUAGACUUUUCAGGAGUGAGGAAUGAGGCAGGUAUUCCAAACCUGGAGCUUCAUCACCUUUUGUUUCAUCUCAAGACAACUCUGAGGGGCUGCUUUGGAACGUGUCUGGAAGGUGAACGUUGAAGAAGAGUGUGGGCUUUGAUGUGACUCAGAUGAGAUCUUUCAUGGGGAGACAGGAAUUUAAUGCCCAGAAUCUGGGCUUGUGUCUUUGAGAUCAGUGGGUUGCCUUUUUGUAUCCAAGUCCAUUGUUACUAGGUUGGAGGCUGGAGAUUCUAAAUGGCUUCCAGACCGCCUCUCUGAUUCUCUUUUGGAGAUGGGGUCUGAAAAAGACAAUGUCAGUAUUUUUGGGAAAUUCUGGAAAGUCUGUUUGGAAACCUGUGAAGACCUCUUGCCUAGUGCCUAAGUGCUCAAUGUGCACCCCUAGCCACGUAGAUGUUUGGUAGGUAUAGAGCUGGGUUUGCAUUUAUAUCAGCAAAACCUAUGGCAGAGUUGAAGAAGUAAUCAGGACAAAGUGCCUUGGUCGCAUGCCAGAGAACAUCUUAAAAGCAAACUUCUAGCCUGCUGACUCUUGGCAAUGAGUGUUGGGUCCUGGCCAAAGUGCCUUGAAUGCAUCAUGAAGCCAAUCCAUAAAUCCAACUUCUAAUGGAGAAAUGUUAAUAUUUUUUCAGUUUGAAUCAAUCAGAGUGAAAUUACCAUGCUAUUGGUUUGUUUACUUUUUAUUAUUUCAUAUAAAAUCUAAGACAAAAUACAUUAAACGCUUAUUGACAUAUGUAUUUAUUCUUCACCUGGCUCAUAACAUUUGCCUAAUUUUAAACUUUCUUCUAUUAUGUAGGUUUCAACUUAUUUUAUUGUAAGAUAUUUUUAAAUCUAAUACAGGCAUUGUCACCUUUACAUGUAAUUUCAUUUUAUUUCAUAUAUUUCCUAUUCGCUUUCUAUAUUUAAAUUAUGGACUGUUUCAUCAUAUAAAAAGCGUCAUUUCUGUUUUAAAAAUAAUUCUUUGGGUUUUUUUGGUCUUGUAAUUUCCAUAUUACAUAGUAAUGAGAUAAAUAUUAAUGUUUCCAGGGUAUUUAAAUUUUAGAUAAUUACUCAUUGUAUCCAUGUGAAAUUUGUUUUUACUGCAUGUGCGGGUUGGAGAACUGUUUUCUCUUCUGAUUCGUCUUUACUGUGAUCUCCUCAGAGCUCAUACCUCUCGUAGUUGGGGGAUUGCAGUUUAGAAUUCCAAUAAAUGGGGCAAAUUCAACAAUAACAUAAUGCAAAUGAGUUUGAAAGGAGGACAUGUCUUCAAAGCAUACACAAAUGGGCCUACAUAUGUACAACAAUAAUUUAUAAGUUACAGUUAGGAUGGAAAGUAAAAGUACAGAAAAUUUGUUAAAGUAAAGUAAAAUGGAGAUCAUGUCUCAAUAAUCUCUGAGCAGACAAAAUUAGUUAGGUCUCAUAAGUGAUCUCGACCUGCUUGGUUUGCAAAUAAAAGCAAAACUUAAAUUAUUUCUUGUAGCUGCAUAUUUAAAAAAGAGAAAUUAAGCUCAACAAAUCAGGAGUAGCCAACAACCUUAUAUAAAUAGAAACUGUCCAACAAGGUAAACAGACAAACAGAAAACAAUAAAAAAAGUUGUGCUACCACCAAUUAAAUGAUUUCUUUGUUUCUACAUUUUUCCAAUAAAUACUUGCUUCUUACACAGUCAGUGAAGCACUAAAUA